UGGGGAAUUUUGCACAAUGGGGGAAACCCUGAUGCAGCGACGCCGCGUGAUUUAGAAGGCCUUCGGGUUGUAAAAAUCUUUUUUACGGGAUGAAAAUGACAGUACCGUAAGAAUAAGGUCCGGCUAAAUACGUGCCAGCAGCCGCGGUAAUACGUAUGGACCGAGCGUUGUCCGGAAUCAUUGGGCGUAAAGAGCUUGUAGGCGGUUCGUCGCGUCUGGUGUGAAAGCCCAUCGCUUAACGGUGGGUUUGCGCCGGGUACGGGCGGGCUAGAGUGCAGUAGGGGAGACUGGAAUUCCCGGUGUAACGGUGGAAUGUGUAGAUAUCGGGAAGAACACCAAUGGCGAAGGCAGGUCUCUGGGCUGUUACUGACGCUGAGAAGCGAAAGCGUGGGGAGCGAACAGG
rnacentral:rRNA from 1 species